CCUGCAGACUGGCUGCAUCAACCGGUCUCUGGGAGAUCUUAUCGCCUGCUCUCAGCUCUUCUGAGGUCACGUUGUUGUGCCACGGUUUAAUAUUUAGUCUGGGUAAACAACACGACAGGAAAAUAUAUCCAUGAGUAUCAGAAAUGCUCUUCCAUAAAUCUUGAUGGAGUCUCAGCAAACACACACAUGCUCUCUGUAUAAUAUUACUGUAGAGUCUGACUGAGCUCCAGGGCUCAUGUUAGGUCUGUGUUGUCUUGUUUCCUGUCGACAGGAGGCAGUACAGCAUCUCUGCUGUGUGUAUAAGAGUACAGCUCAAUAUGAGAGCAGAAAACAGGUUUCCUGAUGGGAGGCUUUCAGUAGAGCAGCACACAGUGAACACACAGAGCAACAGAACUGUUCUUAGAGCCACAAAACACAAGAUGAUCAUCGUCUUCUGCACAGCCCUUCAUCUCAUACUGGUUUCAGGUUCCUCUCUGAGUGACAAAGUCCAGCAGACUCCAGCUAACAUGUACAGAAACCCUGGAGAAGAAGCAGUCAUCAGAUAUACACCUGAACAUCAGCAGGAGAGGACUCUUUAAACAGGUGGAGCUGGAGCUGCAUGGAUGCAGAACUAUGGGUUAUGAUGAAGCCGGUUUACAGAGGGGGGGGCAUUAAUGAGAGUCUGCAGGGAUCUGUUGCUCAGUCGAGUGUCUGCAGCGUGCUGGGAUCAUUCAGAGAGGAGAACAUGCCAACAUUACUCUUUUUAUCAUGGAUCAUUGGUGUCUGUCUCAGUGUUGAAGUGAAGCAGUCCCCUGCAGAGCUCCUGAGGAGACCAGGAGACAGAGUGCAGCUGGUCUGCAGCCAUGAGAAGACGGACUACACGUACAUGCAGUGGUACCAGCAACCCCCCGGGGAGCGAGCUCUGAAACGCAUCGGACAUUUGAACUACGACAGCAAGGACUACGAGGAGCCUUUCAAAAAACAUUUUGAACUUUCUGGAGACCUGAGUGGAGAGAAAGCGAAGAACGCCUCUCUGUUUAUAGACAGGCUGAAGGCAGAGGAGCACAGUGCUGUGUAUUACUGUGCAGCCAGCUACGCACACUGACUGCACACCCCCUCUGCCCAUACAAAAACUACUGUUUCUGUUGGGAGUAACUAAAGUAAGAGCGGGAAUAAAUACACUCCUCCAUGGAUGGAUUAUAAAAGCUUUGUUAAUAAGCUAGAUAUUGCUCCAGUGAUCCUAAACAUCCAAACCCUCUGUGCAAAUCAGCCUUCAGAUCUACUUUCAAAACA